UACGAAGGGGGCUAGCGUUGCUCGGAAUCACUGGGCGUAAAGGGCGCGUAGGCGGCGUUUUAAGUCGGGGGUGAGAGCCUGUGGCUCAACCACAGAAUUGCCUUCGAUACUGGGACGCUUGAGUGUGGUAGAGGUUGGUGGAACUGCGAGUGUAGAGGUGAAAUUCGUAGAUAUUCGCAAGAACACCGGUGGCGAAGGCGGCCAACUGGACCACCACUGACGCUGAGGCGCGAAAGCGUGGGGAGCAAACAGG
rnacentral:rRNA from 1 species